rnacentral:rRNA from 1 species
CCUACGGGGGGCAGCAGUGAGGAAUAUUGGUCAAUGGACGAGAGUCUGAACCAGCCAAGUAGCGUGAAGGAUGACUGCCCUAUGGGUUGUAAACUUCUUUUAUAUGGGAAUAAAAUGCUCCACGUGUGGGAUUUUGUAUGUACCAUAUGAAUAAGGAUCGGCUAACUCCGUGCCAGCAGCCGCGGUAAUACGGAGGAUCCGAGCGUUAUCCGGAUUUAUUGGGUUUAAAGGGAGCGUAGGUGGAUUGUUAAGUCAGUUGUGAAAGUUUGCGGCUCAACCGUAAAAUUGCAGUUGACACUGGCAGUCUUGAGUACAGUAGAGGUGGGCGGAAUUCGUGGUGUAGCGGUGAAAUGCUUAGAUAUCACGAAGAACUCCGAUUGCGAAGGCAGUUCACUGGACUGCAACUGACACUGAGGCUCGAAAGUGUGGGUAUCAAACAGGAUUAGAUACCCUUGUAGUC